CUGUGGAGUUUGCUGAACUGUCUGAGGUUAUGUUUUAGAGACUACUUGAUAUGUGCUCGAGAAUAUUUUGAGCAAAUCGAUCAUCAAAAACUUCAUAUGGGAUAUGGACUUGGGUAAUUCAAUACUCUCUUAUCUUUGAAUUUUGGGUGUCGAAUUUACAUGAAAUGUUCACAAAUCGACUAACUUGGAUCUUGAUCUGAUAAAUAUUAUAUUAAAAAUAUUUUAUCUACCUUACUGAUGGACAUGAGAUAUUC
rnacentral:lncRNA from 1 species